UACGAAGGGAGCUAGCGUUGUUCGGAAUUACUGGGCGUAAAGGGCGCGUAGGCGGCCUGCUAAGUCAUACGUGAAAUCCCAUGGCUCAACCGGGGAACAGCAUCUGAUACUGGCAGACUCGAGGAUGGUAGGGGUGAGUGGAACUCCAGGUGGAGCGGUGAAAUGCGUAGAUAUCUGGAGGAACACCGGUGGCGAAAGCGGCUCACUGGACCAUAACUGACGCUGAGGUGCGAAAGCUAGGGUAGCAAACAGG
rnacentral:rRNA from 1 species